CUUCGUUUCUCUUUCUUCGCGGACGAACACGCGCUGGGGCUGCAAGACUGCAGGAUCCCUGGUCCUUAACAGGAUAAGCGUUAGGGGCUUGUAGCUCAGUUGGUUAGAGCGCGCGCUUGAUAAGCGUGAGGUCGGAAGUUCAAGUCUUCCCAGGCCCACCACUUUCAUCGAGUGAGCAUUCGUCUUCUGGUUACGGGGCCAUAGCUCAGCUGGGAGAGCGCGUGCUUUGCAAGCAUGAGGUCGUCGGUUCGAUCCCGUCUGGCUCCACCAGAUGGUUUGAUCACCGAGGUCAUGCACCGUCGUCCGCGAAACAUCACUUCGCAUCCUGCCAGUCUGGAUAGACGGCAGGUUGCGUGAUUUCUGACAUCGUAAAGAGGAGAUCGAUCCGAGUUGGGUCGUGCAGCAGGUUGUUGCGCGUAUCCUUCAUUAUCUCCGGAUCAUUUUCGGCGCUCGAGGUUGACCGCAAGGUCGGCUCUCGAGUUGUAAAAUGAUCCUUUUAGCGAAGCUUGACCGCCUCGCUAUCGGAACGAUCUUACGAAGCAAGCUGGUCUUUCUAGUCAAUGUCCGGCUGUACGUAGCGUUCAUCGAGGGCGCGCGCCGCAAGGCAAUCGUACAGACGACAUUCUGCCGAGUGUGUGUACAUUGAUAAGUGAGAGCAAUCAUAUGCCUUAAGGUCGUUCGGUGGAUGCCUUGUCGCUGAGAGGCUAUGAACGACGUGCUACUCUGCGAUAAGCUGUGGGGAGCUGCGACGAGGCUAUGAUCCACGGAUUU
rnacentral:misc_RNA from 1 species